GAUGAAGAACGCAGUGAAAUGCGAUAAGUAGUGUGAAUUGCAGAAUUCAGUGAAUCAUCGAAUCUUUGAACGCACAUUGCGCCCCUUGGUAUUCCAUGGGGCAUGCCUGUUCGAGCGUCAUUUGUACCUUCAAGCUUUGCUUGGAGUUGGGUGUUUGUCUCGCCUUUGCGUGUAGACUCGCCUUAAAAUAAUUGGCAGCCGGCGUAUUGAUUUCGGAGCGCAGUACAUCUCGCGCUUUGCACUCAUAACGACAGCGUCCAAAAGUACAUUUUACACUCUUGACCUCGGAUCAGGUAGGGAUACCCGCUGAACUUAAGCAUAUCAAUAAGCGGAGGA
rnacentral:misc_RNA from 1 species